CGCCAAGGCGGAAACGCACCCACCGGCCAGGUGUUUGCUCGAUCGCCUGGUGGGCGCGGUUGACGGUCGGGCGGCGAAGCACCGCGCACCGGUCCGGCAUUUCGUCGAACACCCGCCGGUCGGCAGCGUUGGCCGCCUCGUUUCGUUCGGGGCCCUCGCAGCCGAACGGCCGAGAAGACCACCGGCCCCAGAAAGGAAUAUUCCACUCCAGCGGAUCCC
rnacentral:lncRNA from 1 species